rnacentral:misc_RNA from 1 species
CAGGGAUAUCAGAUGACUUAACAGGAGACAUAGUUGCACCAGAUGAUGGUUCAACUGCUGACUGGGCAGGAGAACCGAUACCAUGAACUGAAGGCAAUGGAGAUGUAGGAUUUGAAGACUGAAAAUUGGAUGAAUUGGGGAUUGCACUGGAAGGAGGAAUCCCAUUCUGUGACAAAUUCAUAGAUGAAAUAACUGGCAUUGGUUGAACAGCCUGACCUGC